GUGAUUUUUGUUUUAAUAAAUAGUUCUGUGACAACUCUCAAGUCAAUAACUCUACAAGAUGAACAAGCUAAUUUUCGUAUUUCUGCUCGCCAUGUUCGUGGCUUGUUUUGCUGAGAAAGAGAUAGAACCUAAAACGUCAGAGGCCCACGAAGAUAAGCCAACGUACCCGGUCCUUCCAUACCCGGGUCUAUACCCGGGCCUGUACCCCUAUCGGGACGCCUUGUACCCAUACCGUAAUGGGUUCUACCCGUACGGGCGGUAUUUUGGAUUUCCCUAUUAUGAACCGGCUGCGCGCGGUUACGUCUACGGAUAUUAAUUACAACUUUCUGAUUCGAUCUUUGAACAAUGGCUUUUGAUUUGAUUGA